AUUGAAAAGCAGAAAAUAAAGAUCAUCCCUCUGUGUCUCUAUAUAUAAAUACAGAGCAUAUUGAUUUUUAGCUGCUUGUCUUCUCCGCAGAUCUUCACUUCUCCACAAGUUUCCCUCGCUCUUGGACUUUUGCACACAAUCUAGAUACUUCUGAGGCAUGGGGACUAUUGGUGAUGCUGCAAACAGGGAAGUAAAUGGGAGCUCACUCCCAGAUAAGAAGCCCACUGUAGUUUUUGUUCUAGGUGGCCCUGGCAGUGGUAAAGGCACACAAUGUGCAAAUAUUGUUCAACAUUUUGGUUAUACUCACCUUAGUGCUGGUGAUCUUCUCCGAGCAGAGCAAAAUUCCGGUUCUGAAAAUGGGGAAAUGAUUAAGAACAUGAUUAAGGAUGGGCAAAUCGUACCCUCAGAGGUAACAGUCAAGCUUCUCCUGCGGGCAAUGGGGGAAAGUGGAAAUGACAAAUUUCUUAUUGAUGGUUUUCCUCGUAAUGAGGAGAAUCGUGCCGCAUUUGAGUCUGUUACUGGAAUUGAGCCUGAAUUUGUACUUUUCUUUGAUUGUCCGGAGGAGGAAAUGGAGAAGCGUGUGCUGAAUAGAAACCAGGGUAGAGCUGAUGAUAACAUUGAGUCAAUAAGGAAGAGAUUUAAGGUGUAUACACAGUCUAGCCUUCCAGUGAUUGAAUACUACGAUUCCAAAGGCAAGGUUCGAAAGAUUGAUGCUUCCAAACCAGUUGAAGAAGUUUUUGAGGCAGUCAAAGAAGUCUUCACCUCACUUGAUGAUAAGGUUGCUGCUUGAAGACUCUGCUUAUUAUUGCAUUAGAUUCCAGCAUAGACUGCGUCAUUCUACAUAAGAAACCAUGUAUCCAUUAUCCACGGAUUUGAUGCAAUUCCACAAAAUCAAGAUGGAAUAUCUGGAGCCGGCUGUCAUCUCCGGUUCAGUGACAAUGGAGGAGUGAUGGUGGGAAUGGUAUCGAGAGUAAAGGAAGUGGUGGUGCAAUGCCCGAUGCAGCCAGUAAUACAGGAACUCCACUGGGCCAGCAUGAACCAGAAAUGUCCAGAUCACCCCAUCUGUCCUCCACCAGGGGAGAUGUUUA